rnacentral:lncRNA from 1 species
CUUGUUCUUGUUCUUGUUUCAUCCAUCCCUUUUAGAAGCUCAGAAAUCACAGAACUUUGUCCAGGCUUCUUUUCCCAGGAAUGUUGAUCACAGUGAAGCUUCCAAGGCUCCGGUUCAGCUCCCCUGCAUCCCUAGGAAAUGACCUCAGACUUUGACUUCCAUCCUAGAGAUCUGCAAAGAAGGCCCUAACCCCUCAACUUCCAAGCAUCAUUUCCAUGAACUAAAAACUCUCACUAGAAAGUAACUAAAAAUCCUAGGCUCCCCCAGGAUCAUGUAGUGAUUCUGCUUCUCAUCCUAACCCACUAGAUUUCCACCAUCCCAAUGUUUGCUGUUAUACGGUAUGAGCCAUAUAUAGCUCAGAUGAAGAAAAGAUGGAUUUAGAGACAAAGAGUGGGCCAUGAUAACCAGUCGGAUCAAGCACCUGCAUUGGGAGUAUGAGAAAGAUGGUGCUCUUCUAGUUUUGGACCCCAGCGGUGAGUAGGAAGGCCAUGUCAUCCUGCCCUAGCAGUGAGGAGCACUGGAGCAGAGGAGGAAGAAUUCUAAUGCAGACGUGUUCCAGCAUGAAGCACAUACCUGGGACAUAGAAGAUGCUCAGUAACAAUGGGAUAUCCUAGCUUUACUUUGAGAGAGGCAAUCUGGUAAGUUAUAUGCCUUUGAACAAAAAGUUUCUUUAUUUUAUUAUGGCUUA